GCUGGGCGUGGUGGCUCACGCCUGUAAUCCCAGCACUUUGGGAGGCUGAGGCGGGUGGAUCACCUGAGGUCAGGAGUUUGAGACCAGCCUGGCCAACAUGGCGAAACCCCGUCUCUA
rnacentral:SRP_RNA from 1 species